rnacentral:rRNA from 1 species
AUUGAACGCUGGCGGCAGGCCUAACACAUGCAAGUCGAGCGGAUGAAGGGAGCUUGCUCCUGGAUUCAGCGGCGGACGGGUGAGUAAUGCCUAGGAAUCUGCCUGGUAGUGGGGGAUAACGUCCGGAAACGGGCGCUAAUACCGCAUACGUCCUGAGGGAGAAAGUGGGGGAUCUUCGGACCUCACGCUAUCAGAUGAGCCUAGGUCGGAUUAGCUAGUUGGUGGGGUAAAGGCCUACCAAGGCGACGAUCCGUAACUGGUCUGAGAGGAUGAUCAGCCACACUGGAACUGAGACACGGUCCAGACUCCUACGGGAGGCGGCAGUGGGGAAUAUUGGACAAUGGGCGAAAGCCUGAUCCAGCCAUGCCGCGUGUGUGAAGAAGGUCUUCGGAUUGUAAAGCACUUUAAGUUGGGAGGAAGAGCAGUAAGUUAAUACCUUGCUGUUUUGACGUUACCAACAGAAUAAGCACCGGCUAACUUCGUG